UGACACUGAGACACGAAAGCUAGCGGAGCGAAGCAGAUUAGAGACCUGCGUAGUCCUAGCCGUAUACGCAUGCUCGCUAGCUGCAUGAAUCUACCUUCGGGUGGUAUCGUGUGACGAAGGUAACCCGUUAAGCAAGCCGCCUGGAAAGUACGGCCGCAAGGCUGAAAUUCAAAGGAAUUGGCGGGGAGGCACACAACCAGUGGAACAUGUGGUUUAAUUCGAGACUAACGCGAAGAACCUCACCAGGGUUUGACAUGUAGCUGCACGUCUUAAGAAAUUAAGACUCUCAUGUAAGGUGCUACACAGGUGCUGCAUGGCUGUCGUCAGCUCGUUCCGUGAGGAGUGCCCUUAUGUGGGACAACGAGCGCAACCCCUAUUACAUGUUAGAAAUGUCAUGUAAGAUCUGCCUUGCCAUCCGGCGGGGAUGGAAGGAGGGGUCAGACGUCAAGUCCGCAUGGUCCUUAUGCCAUGGGCUACACACAUGUUACAAUGAGUACGGCAAUGACGUCUGUCACGAGCACGUAAGUGUAAGCUAAUCUCUCAAAUGUACUCUCAGUGGGGAUUGAGGUCGGCAACUCGACAUCAUGAACACGAACUCGGUAGUACUCGCGGGUCAGCUAUACCGCGGUGAAUACGUUCUUGCCUCACGCACACACCGCCCGUCUAACCAGCAAAGUCGAUUGUAUCC
rnacentral:rRNA from 1 species